rnacentral:rRNA from 1 species
AGUCAUAUGCUUGUCUCAAAGAUUAAGCCAUGCAUGUCUAAGUACAAGCCUCACUAAGGUGAAACCGCGAAUGGCUCAUUAAAUCACACCUAAUCUACUGGAUAGUAGUCAGUUACUCGGAUACCUGCGGUAAUUCUGCAGCUAAUACGUGCAAACAAGCCUCGACUUCGGAAGAGGCGCUUUUAUUAGAUCAAAACCGAUCGGCUUCGGCCGUCCUUUUGGUGAUUCUGAAUAACUUUGAGCUGAUCGCAUGGCCUCGAGCCGGCGACAUAUCCAUCGAAGGUGUGCCCUAUCAUCUGUCGACUGUGGCAUAGACGCCCACAGUGGAUUUGACGGGUAACGGGGAAUCAGGGUUCGAUUCCGGAGAGGGAGCCUUAAAAACGGCUACCACAUCCAAGGAAGGCAGCAGGCACGCAAAUUACCCAAUGACCGAAGGUCGAGGUAGUGACGAAAAAUAACGAUACGGGACUCAUCCGAGGCCCCGUAAUCGGAAUGAGUACACUUUAAAACCUUUCCAACGAGGAUCUAUU